rnacentral:rRNA from 1 species
UACGUAGGGCGCAAGCGUUGUCCGGAAUCCUUGGGCGUAAAGAGCUCGUAGGUGGUCUGUUACGUCUGCUGUGAAAACCUAGGGCUUAACCCUGGGCCUGCAGUGGAUACGGGCAGACUAGAGGUAGGUAGGGGAGAAUGGAAUUCCCGGUGUAGCGGUGAAAUGCGCAGAUAUCGGGAGGAACACCGGUGGCGAAGGCGGUUCUCUGGGCCUUACCUGACACUGAGGAGCGAAAGCGUGGGGAGCGAACAGG